GGAGUGUCUGAUGCCUCUAGGGAUGUAGAUUCUAAGGAAACUCAUGAUCGUGUGCAAGAAGGUGAAAACAAGGUUUUCUCGGCUUUUGGGUAUUUUCAUAAAAUAGCCACCUUUGAAAAGGUUGCAGGUUUUCAGGCAUUGAUCUAGUACACUGAUGCGGCUACUGCUUCAGCUGCUAGAGAAUCCUUAGAUGGAAGGAGCAUCCCAAGUUACUUGCUUCUGGAGCAUGUAACAUCCUGCUGUCUGUGAAUUUCUUUUUCUGCACAUAAGGAUUUGAACAUCAAGUUUCAGUCGAACCACAGCAGUGGAAAUUUGCUCAUGUUGCAUUCAGUAAGCCAGAAUACCUCCAAGAUUCAGAUAUUGUAAUGAACAGAUUCCAUGUGAGAUACGUUUUCCUUUUGGCGAAAGAAUCCUUUCGCAAGAACAUUCAUUGUAACAUUGAAGGUUGGGAACAACACCUUGGAUUAGAGCAUACAGCCACUACCCCAAAAAUGUCCUACUUAGGCAACAACCAGAGCAAUUACAAAACCACCAUUCUUUUGAGAAGCCUAAGAGGAUUUACAACUAAAGCUGGGAAUACUUUUUACAUGUGAUGAAUGAUGAACAGGAUAUGAAGGCAGCCUUGUUCUAAAAGCAGUCUUUUGGUGAUGUACAUGGAGCUUUUGCAUAGAGUAGUUUAUGUGGCAGUUAUCUCAAGAAUUUUCAUCUGGUGGAUGUACAGGGUUCGUAUAUCAACAUUUCCUUGUAGAAAGUUGAAGCUGUAUAUCGAGGGUGGAUUUACCUGUGUUUAUCUUUUCGACCCCAAGCCUCUAGGAAGCUGUGAACCAUAGCCUCAUGAAAUAUGCCUGCUGUUGAUUCAGUGUUUGUGUUUUUCUUGUUUGUCAUUAUUGUGCACUCGCUUUUAAUAUAACACACAUUUUG